rnacentral:misc_RNA from 1 species
AAUUCUCAACCUUUCUAGCCUUUACUGGCGGGACCAAGGCUUGGAUGUGGGGGCUGCGGGCUUCUCAGAAGUCGGCUCUCCUUAAAUGCAUUAGCGAAACAUUUGCUGACCAUCUCUGGUGUGAUAAUUAUCUGCGCCACUGAGAAGCAGCUGAUUUGGCUUCUAACCGUCCUUCACCGGACAGCUCUUGACA